rnacentral:rRNA from 1 species
GAUGAACGCUGGCGGCGUGCUUAACACAUGCAAGUCGAACGGUGAAGCCAAGCUUGCUUGGUGGAUCAGUGGCGAACGGGUGAGUAACACGUGAGCAACCUGCCCUGGACUCUGGGAUAAGCGCUGGAAACGGCGUCUAAUACUGGAUAUGAGACGUGAUCGCAUGGUCAACGUUUGGAAAGAUUUUUCGGUCUGGGAUGGGCUCGCGGCCUAUCAGCUUGUUGGUGAGGUAAUGGCUCACCAAGGCGUCGACGGGUAGCCGGCCUGAGAGGGUGACCGGCCACACUGGGACUGAGACACGGCCCAGACUCCUACGGGAGGCAGCAGUGGGGAAUAUUGCACAAUGGGCGGAAGCCUGAUGCAGCAACGCCGCGUGAGGGAUGACGGCCUUCGGGUUGUAAACCUCUUUUAGCAGGGAAGAAGCGAAAGUGACAGUACCUGCAGAAAAAGCGCCGGCUAACUACGUGCCAGCAGCCGCGGUAAUACGUAGGGCGCAAGCGUUAUCCGGAAUUAUUGGGCGUAAAGAGCUCGUAGGCGGUUUGUCGCGUCUGCUGUGAAAUCCCGAGGCUCAACCUCGGGCCUGCAGUGGGUACGGGCAGACUAGAGUGCGGUAGGGGAGAUUGGAAUUCCUGGUGUAGCGGUGGAAUGCGCAGAUAUCAGGAGGAACACCGAUGGCGAAGGCAGAUCUCUGGGCCGUAACUGACGCUGAGGAGCGAAAGGGUGGGGAGCAAACAGGCUUAGAUACCCUGGUAGUCCACCCCGUAAACGUUGGGAACUAGUUGUGGGGACCAUUCCACGGUUUCCGUGACGCAGCUAACGCAUUAAGUUCCCCGCCUGGGGAGUACGGCCGCAAGGCUAAAACUCAAAGGAAUUGACGGGGACCCGCACAAGCGGCGGAGCAUGCGGAUUAAUUCGAUGCAACGCGAAGAACCUUACCAAGGCUUGACAUACACCAGAACGGGCCAGAAAUGGUCAACUCUUUGGACACUGGUGAACAGGUGGUGCAUGGUUGUCGUCAGCUCGUGUCGUGAGAUGUUGGGUUAAGUCCCGCAACGAGCGCAACCCUCGUUCUAUGUUGCCAGCACGUAAUGGUGGGAACU